rnacentral:rRNA from 1 species
CAUGUAGGAAUUUAAAAAGUUGAACAAACUUCUUCAUCUUUAACUUCUUCGCCAAAAAAGAAUCCUAAUCCAACAUCGAGGUCGCAAACUAUUUUAUCUAUAAGAACUAUCCAAAAUUAUUACGCUGUUAUCCCUAGAGUAUUUGUUUCAAUUAAUCGUUAAAAACGGAACAAAAUUAAUUAAUUUUCAAAAAGAUAUAUAUUCUUUUUUCAUCACCCCAACCAAAUUUAAGCAUAUUUUCUAAGAAAAUAUGCUUAAAUAAAAAAUUCAUAGGGUCUUCUUGUCCCUAAUUUCCAUUUUUGCUUCCUCACAAAAAAAUUAAAUUCAAUUUUUAAAUUAAAGAAAGUCAUCAAUUGUUCAACCAUUCUCUUAGCACCCAUUUAAAGCCUUAUUUCAAUACCUUCGUAUAGUCAAAAUACCACAGCAAUUUAAAUAUUUCCAUUGAGCAGAUUAUACAUUUUAUUAAUAUCAAAAUGAAAUGUUUUUGU